rnacentral:rRNA from 1 species
AAUGAACGCUGGCGGCAUGCCUAACACAUGCAAGUCGAACGAGAUCCUUCGGGGUCUAGUGGCGCACGGGUGCGUAACGCGUGGGAAUCUACCCUUGGGUUCGGAAUAACAGUGAGAAAUUACUGCUAAUACCGGAUGAUGACGAAAGUCCAAAGAUUUAUCGCCCAGGGAUGAGCCCGCGUAAGAUUAGCUAGUUGGGUGGGGUAAAGGCCUACCAAGGCGACGAUCUUUAGCUGGUCNGAGAGGAUGAUCAGCCACACUGGGACUGAGACACGGCCCACACACCUACGGGUGGCAGCAGUUGGGAAUCUUGCACAAUGGGGG